rnacentral:rRNA from 1 species
CCUACGGGUGGCAGCAGUAGGGAAUAUUGCUCAAUGGGGGAAACUCUGAAGGAGCAACGCCGCGUGGGGGAAGAAGGUUUUAGGAUCGUAAACCUCUUUUGUUAGAGAAGAUCAUGACGGUAACUAACGAAUAAGCACCGGCUAACUACGUGCCAGCAGCCGCGGUAAUACGGAGGGUGCAAGCGUUACUCGGAAUCACUGGGCGUAAAGGGUGCGUAGGCGGGGUAAUAAGUCAGAUGUGAAAUCCCGUAGCUUAACUACAGAACUGAAUUUGAAACUGUUACUCUGGAGUGUGGGAGAGGUAAGUGGAAUUCUUGGUGUAGGGGUGAAAUCCGUAGAGAUAAGGAGGAAUACUCGUUGCGAAGGCGACCUGCUGGAACAUUACUGACGCUGAUGCACGAAAGCGUGGGGAGCAAACAGGAUUAGAUACCCUAGUAGUC